rnacentral:tRNA from 1 species
GUGGCCUUAGCUCAGCUGGGAGAGCGUCAGACUGAAGUUCCAACUUUCAGUCCUUAAAUCUGAAGGUCGUGUGUUCGAGCCACACAGGCCACA